rnacentral:rRNA from 1 species
UACAGAGGGGGCAAGCGUUAUUCGGAAUUAUUGGGCGUAAAGGGCGCGUAGGCGGCCUGGCAAGUGGAAGGUGAAAUCCCUCGGCUUAACCGAGGAACUGCCUUCCAAACUGCUUGGCUUGAGUCCGGGAGAGGUGAGUGGAAUUCCCAGUGUAGCGGUGAAAUGCGUAGAUAUUGGGAGGAACACCAGUGGCGAAGGCGGCUCACUGGACCGGAACUGACGCUGAUGCGCGAAAGCUAGGGGAGCAAACAGG